CAAUGACGCUGGAACGGGUCCAUGAAAGUGUCGUUGUAUAUCUGGUAGCGAUAAACCUUGCUAGAGGCAGAAAACCGAGCAUGAAACUCAGGAACCGCUGCACUCAGCUCUCUGACACGGAUAUCUUUAGGAAGAAGACCGUUCAAAGCAGCGUGAAAGCUAUCCAAACUAGUAUAGUUGAAAGGAGUGACAAAAUG